rnacentral:rRNA from 1 species
GACGAACGCUGGCGGCGUGCUCAACACAUGCAAGUCGAACGGAAAGGCCCUGCUUUUGUGGGGUGCUCGAGUGGCGAACGGGUGAGUAACACGUGAGUAACCUACCCUUGACUUUGGGAUAACUUCAGGAAACUGGGGCUAAUACCGGAUAGGAGCUCCUGCUGCAUGGUGGGGGUUGGAAAGUUUCGGCGGUUGGGGAUGGACUCGCGGCUUAUCAGCUUGUUGGUGGGGUAGUGGCUUACCAAGGCUUUGACGGGUAGCCGGCCUGAGAGGGUGACCGGCCACAUUGGGACUGAGAUACGGCCCAGACUCCUACGGGAGGCAGCAGUGGGGAAUAUUGCACAAUGGGCGGAAGCCUGAUGCAGCAACGCCGCGUGCGGGAUGACGGCCUUCGGGUUGUAAACCGCUUUCGCCUGUGACGAAGCGUGAGUGACGGUAAUGGGUAAAGAAGCACCGGCUAACUACGUG